ensembl:lncRNA
GUAAAGACACUGGCAGAGAGACCAGUAAAGACACUGGCAGAGAGACCAGUAAAGACACUGGCAGAGAGACAAUAACAAAAGCUAGUCAAGAGACCCGAAAGGACAGCAGGAGCAGAGGGAAAGAUAAGGAGGCGGAAAAGAUAAUCAAGGAGAUGGAGACUGGCAAAAAAGAGACCAGUACAGAGACUCGCAAAAAGUUAGGGAGUAAGACUAGAAACAUGACAGUCCAUGAGACCAGCAAAGACACUGGGAAAAUGACCAGUACAGAGACUGUUAAGGAGACUGAGAGAGAGACUAGCACAGACAUGGAGAGAGAGACCUGUAGAGCUGUUAGUAUAGUGGCCAGUAGAAUCAGCAAUAGAGAAACCAAAAAAAAGCCAGAGACUUGUAAAACACCUGAAAAGAAGACCAAUACUCAGACUGUGAAAGAAAAAACUAAAGUGACUCCUCCCCCCAUCUCCCCUCCAACCACUAAUCUGUGGGAUUUCCUGAAGAGGCAGAACCGAGGAGCUGUGAUUGGUCUGAGUGCACUCAUCGAGUGCCACAGUCACGGCCAGCCCCCCCUCUACCUCUGCCAGGUGUGUGGGUGUAAAGUCUUCCAGAACGCCAUCAUCGUCCAUGUAACCACAGACUGCCACCGGCUUUCCUACCUGGUAACGGAGUUGGAUGCACACACUUACAAUUUUGUUGCAGAAAGAUCCUUUGCCAUUGGCCUGAACAUUGUAAUGAAGGUCAUAAAUGGUGACCCUUCACCUGACCCCCUACUGUUGGUCAGCCCUAAACCCCCUGACCCCUCACCCCAGGUCAGCCCUGACCCCUCACUCCAGGUGUCAGAGGUCAGCAACCCCACCAUGACCUCUACAGCUCUGUGGUCCUACCUGAAUGCCUCCACCAGGACACAGCCUGUCAUCGGUGUCAGUAUGUUGACAGAGUUGCCAGACAGACAUGGUGACUACUUCCUCUGCCGCUGCUGUUCUCACAGGAUGUUUACAUCAUCCCUCAUUGGACACCUAAUCUCUGCUCGACACCGCUACCACUACAUAAAACUAGUGUACCCUGAGCUGGCUGCUGAUUGGCCAGUGAGCCCAGAGCUGACGGUGAAGGCGGGGCCUCUUCAUGAGGAGCUGAGAGUGAGAGCUGCAGAACUGGAGGCACAGGAGGGACUAGGACAGCUCACGGUGGUAAAGAGAGAACCUGCUGCUGGAGACACAACCACUACCAAUACUGAAGGGACUGCCCAGCAGAGCCAGAACGGCUCACCUCCUCUCUCUGUGAAAGAGGAACCGGUUGACUCCACAGUACCAUCCCAGCCCCCUAGAGGAGAAAAGAGGAACAAGAGGAGGAGCAACCCUGUGGUUGGUGUGAACUUCCUGGUCCAGGUGUCCCACAGGAGAAGGAAACAGUACUACUGUCAGCUAUGUUCUGUCAGGAUGAAACACGCUAUUGCUGAUCACAUGACCAGCCUCAGCCACCGACACAACUAUGUGAGGUUGAAGUACCCUGGUUGGACCUCCAGCCCGGUAGAGAUGGAGAAGAAGCUGUUCAAAAUGGCCGUUCACCUGGAGAAGGUCGACAGAGACGCAGGAAUGGGCAUGCAGAAGGUAGAAGUGGAAGCUGAUGAGUACAAAGAGCUGUUGUCCUUUCCUGUGGAGGAAGGUGUCAGUAAACUGCAAGCCAUCAUCAGACGGCAACAAGAGCCAUGCGAUCUGAGACACACAGCUCCCUCGACCAAUCACAACCCAGAGGAUCUGAGACAGACAGCUCCCUUGUCCAAUCCCGAUGCAGCCCAAUGUCCAGCUCAAGGUAUGUGUGGGGCAGAGUCACGUGAGACCGAGGGAGUGUGUCCUCUCCCUGUCAGUCUAUCAGAGGAGGAGAAUGACCAGACGCUCCUGGUUCAGAUCUCAAUGUUUUUGGGAGAAGACCAGGAACCCCUACAAGUACCUUCCCGUUCCUCCAGGAUCAGCCACCCCUUAUUUCCAUCCCUCUCCCACUCUCUACACCUCACCCUAUCCCCCUCUCUUCCUCAAUCCCCCUCCCUCUCUCCCUCAAACCCCUUUUCUACCUCUCUUUCCACAGUUGUCCUAUCUACCUCACCCUCCCUCUCUUCCUCCAUACCAUCCCACACCCCCUCGUUGUCCACAGAGAAGACAACACACCCCUCCCCUGUCUCUGUCCCUGUUCCUGCACCUCUCUCAGCUCUGAGGAGCUCAACACAUUUGAAGGACUGGGAGACUUCUCUGAGUCCAGAGUGGUGGGAGAGGAAGAGCCCAGAAUGCAGAGAGACACAGACGCUUCUAGAAAUACCAGACAGACACACUCUUCUGGAAUACUCGGGCAGAGACAGACAGAUUGAAUACUCAGCGACAGACCGACAGACUGCAUACACUGAGAGAAACCGACAGACUCAUCUAGAAUACUCUGAGAGAGACAGACGGGCAGACUACUCAGAGAGAGACAGACGGGCAGACUACUCAGAGAGAGACAGACGGGCGGACUACUCGGAGAGAGACAGACGGGCGGACUGCUCGGAGAGAGGCAGACGGGCGGACUACUCCGAGGGAGGCAGACGGGCGGACUACUCCGAGGGAG